GAAUUGGUAGUUCAGUGGUAGAACUCUCCCCUUCCAUGCAGGAGACCCAGGUUCAAUUCCCAGCCAAUACA
rfam:Loxodonta africana unplaced genomic scaffold scaffold_5, whole genome shotgun sequence.